UUCAAACAAAAGAAACAAAAAAGGAGGCUGAAGCUGAAACAGUGUGAGAAGUGAGACGAGGAAAGAAAGGGAAAGAAACCAGAACUGGGAUAAAAGCUAAAUAAAGUGAGUGAACUGGAGGUGGCACGCUAAAGGAUCGGUUUAAGGAGAAGAGGACUGAGCUCCGUGGAAUAGGCAGACAGUCUUGGGCCUGUUUGGAAUCAGCAAAACUCCUCUCUCAGACCAGGAUUGGUGUCUGGUGUGGUGUUUGGGGCUCCAGCCUGCUCAGCUAAUCUGCUCAGUGCCCUCCGCUGUCCCCAGUCGAUCCCCACCCAUCAUUUCCAUUAUCCAUCCAUUGAUGAAUAAAUCUCAUUUACACUGUCAAGCUGCCUCUGCCUUGACUCCACAGCCGUAACAAUAACAUAUUAUUUCCAUUUUAAAAAAAUAAAUAAUAUCCGCCCUUAUUGUGAAAUGCAGAAAAAGUUAUUGCCAAUCUUUUUUUUUUUGUUUCAAAUGUUUAACUACUUGACUAAAGAAUUCCACAACUCCA